rnacentral:rRNA from 1 species
UGAAUACGAGAUGCUACGGCGUCGAAGCAGUCUAUGUCAUACUUCCAAGAAAAGCUUGCACUGUCAUAAACAAAUAAUGCCUGUACCAUAACCGACACAGGUGGGUAGGUAGAGUAUACUAAGGGGCGCGAGAUAACUCUCUCUAAGGAACUCGGCAAAAUGACUCCGUAACUUCGGGAGAAGGAGUGCCUUAUUUAUAAGGUUGCAAUAACAAGAUCCAAGCAACUGUUUACCAAAAACACAGGUCUCCGCUAAGUCGUAAGACGAUGUAUGGGGGCGGACGCCUGCCCAGUGCCAGAAGGUUAAAGAAGUUGGUUAGCAUCCGCGAAGCUGAUAACUGAAGCCCUGGUGAACGGCGGCCGUAACAAUAACGGUCCUAAGGUAGCGAAAUUCCUUGUCGGGUAAGUUCCGACCCGCACGAAAGGCGUAAUGAUUUGGAUACUGUCUCGGAGAGGGGCUCGGUGAAAUAGACUUGUCUGUGAAGAUGCGGACUACCUGCACCAGGACAGAAAGACCCUAUGAAGCUUUACUGUAACCUGAAAUUGAAAUUGGACUUUACUUGCGCAGUAUAGGUGGGAGGCGUUGAGAAUAUUCUUGCGGGAUUAUUGGAGCCAUCAGUGAGAUACCACUCUUGUAAUGUUAGAUUUCUAACUUUGUAUCAUUAUCUGGUCAAAGAACAGUUUCAGGCGGGCAGUUUGACUGGGGCGGUCGCCUCCUAAACGGUAACGGAGGCGCACAAAGGUUUCCUCUGAACGGGUAGAAAUCGUAUCUAGAGUGUAAAGGCAUAAGGAAGCUUGACUGUGAGACCUACAAGUCGAGCAGGGACGAAAGUCGGUCUUAGUGAUCUGACGGUGCUGAGUGGAAAGGCCGUCACUCAACGGAUAAAAGUUACUCUAAGGAUAACAGGCUGAUCUCCCCCAAGAGUUCACAUCGACGGGGAGGUUUGGCACCUCGAUGUCGGCUCAUCGCAUCCUGGGGCGGUAGUACGUCCCAAGGGUUGGGCUGUUCGCCCAUGAAAGCGGUACGCGAGCUGGGUUCAGAACGUCGUGAGACAGUUCGGUCCAUAUCCGGUGUAGGCGUUAGAAUAUUGAGAGGAGCCUUCUUUAGUACGAGAGGACCGAGAAGGACAUACCUCUGGUGUACCAGUUAUCGUGCCAACGGUAAACGCUGGGUAGCUAUGUGUGGAGUGGAUAACCGCUGAAAGCAUCUAAGUGGGAAGCCCACCUCAAGAUAAGUAUUCUCGU